GAAUGCAGCAGCACCGGAGAAAGAGGAGCUGAGAAGCUCAAGACGUCCUGGAAGCUGGAUCGGGACGGCCGGACGGAAUGCAGGGGAAGUGGCCUUGCUCCCCCGCUGCUGCUGCCAGGCUGGCAGCUGAGACAGAGCACAGGAGCUCUGAUGGGAUGUUUGGAGC